rnacentral:rRNA from 1 species
AUUGAACGCUGGCGGCAGGCCUAACACAUGCAAGUCGAGCGGAUGAAGGGAGCUUGCUCCUGGAUUCAGCGGCGGACGGGUGAGUAAUGCCUAGGAAUCUGCCUGGUAGUGGGGGAUAACGUCCGGAAACGGGCGCUAAUACCGCAUACGUCCUGAGGGAGAAAGUGGGGGAUCUUCGGACCUCACGCUAUCAGAUUACCCUAGGUCGGAUUAGCUAGUUGGUGGGGUAAAGGCCUACCAAGGCGACGAUCCGUAACUGGUCUGAGAGGAUGAUCAGUCACACUGGAACUGAGACACGGUCCAGACUCCUACGGGAGGCAGCAGUGGGGAAUAUUGGACAAUGGGCGAAAGCCUGAUCCAGCCAUGCCGCGUGUGUGAAGAAGGUCUUCGGAUUGUAAAGCACUUUAAGUUGGGAGGAAGGGCAGUAAGUUAAUACCUUGCUGUUUUGACGUUACCAACAGAAUAAGCACCGGCUAACUUCGUG